rnacentral:rRNA from 1 species
GAUGAACGCUGGCGGCGUGCCUAAUACAUGCCAGUCGAGCGAACAGAUGAGGAGCUUGCUCCUCUGACGUUAGCGGCGGACGGGUGAGUAACACGUGGAUAACCUACCUAUAAGACUGGGAUAACUUCGGGAAACCGGAGCUAAUACCGGAUAAUAUAUUGAACCACAUGGUUCAAUAGUGAAAGACGGUUUUGCUGUCACUUAUAGAUGGAUCCGCGCCGCAUUAGCUAGUUGGUAAGGUAACGGCUUACCAAGGCAACGAUGCGUAGCCGACCUGAGAGGGUGAUCGGCCACACUGGAACUGAGACACGGUCCAGACUCCUACGGGAGGCAGCAGUAGGGAAUCUUCCGCAAUGGGCGAAAGCCUGACGGAGCAACGCCGCGUGAGUGAUGAAGGUCUUCGGAUCGUAAAACUCUGUUAUUAGGGAAGAACAAAUGUGUAAGUAACUAUGCACGUCUUGACGGUACCUAAUCAGAAAGCCACGGCUAACUACGU